AGUUUCCACUAUGAAAUUAAGGGAAGAAACAAUAAAUAAAUGAGAAAAUCUGGACCAGAAGCAUGACUGAGAAUCGGAGUCUCUGAGCCGGCAGGAUCCUCAGAAGCCACAGCCUCACCCAAAGCCCCCCAGGGACGGAGAGCCCCGCAGGCAUCCGGCCCCAGGCAGCCCGUGCCAUUUGGGGAUCAUUCCGAGUGUUAAGCUCUCUCUGACAUCAAGCUUACAUCGGCAAUCGUAUUUUUUGUCUUCUCAAUGAGGAAGGGAGGGACAGAACAUGGGACUGAAAAUGAAAAUGAAGAAAGGAUGGCACAGAACACGUUCCUGAAGCUGGAACCCAGCUUUGCAGACUCAGCAGCACACUCAACGCCCACUCUCCCUCACUGUCGGAUCCUCAAGACAGCUUUCCUCUGCUGCCUCAGCUUCUGACAGGGCUUCCCUUGACUCAGAAUAAGAGAACCAUAUACUCGCCAAGCUAAGAGAUCUCUGCAGAGCCUUAUACCUGAACAAGGAUGCCUUCAACUACGUCCCAACUAAUCCGGCUGCUUCCUAAGGCCCUCUAAUGGGAAGGAGUCACUACCCCCUGAGCCAGCCCAUACCACUGUAGGACAGCUCUAACCACUGGGGGUGUCACCCCCAUCAAGCCUAAAGCCAUCUCUUCCCGACCUCACAGAAUCUUUGGGUUGGACAGUAAGGCUCAAUGGCCUUCUGGAAUCCCUUCUCCAAGUCCCUCUCAAGUGGCCCUCCAGUCUCUGCUUGAAGACCUUCCUGCUCACUCCUAGUUUCUGCUGGAAAGGCAAUCCUUGCUACUGGGGAGACUGAGGCUGGUGGAUUGCUUUAACUCAGGAGUUCUGAGCUGUAAGGACACUAAAGUCAGCUGGGUGUCUUCACUGUCCCUCACCAACAUGGUGAGUCCCCAGGAGCAAGGGAUUACCAGACUGUUUAAGGAGGGGUCCCAGGUGGGAAAACUGGCCCAAAGAAAUGAGUUGUGAAGAUCGCACACUCAGGAAGACAAGAGGCAGGACACUUCUCCCGUCUCUCCCCAUGGGAGAUCGCUGGGCAGGGAACCGAAGGAUGGCAGAAUGCAGAACGUGAGGCGCCCUCGGGAUCAGCUUGUUUUUGCAAAGAAUGAAACACAGCAGAAUCAGAAUUCGAACCCAGGCCCUCUGGAUCCCAACGAGGGCUCUCUCCAUCACACCCCACUGCGCCUGGCCUCUUCCCCCACACAGGAAAGAGAAGAAGAAACAAAAGCCUCGGGCAGCUUUCUCACACCCCGAGAAUGCCGAGCAGCUCUCUUGGCUCUAGAGACGCUGGAAUAAAACUACAACAUCAUAGGCGACAAAGUCUUCCAUCUGGAUGUAAGGAUCACUCCCCCUCCAGAAUGCCCAUUCCACCCACCAUCAACGCUCAAAACACAGACUCAAGCCUCACGUUCCUCCAUCAGGACCGAGGAGAAGAAGGAACAAAUGGGUCGAUGCUACCUUAGAAUCCCAGCUUUGCCACUGGGCAACUGUAGGACAAGUAAUUUCCCCUCUCUGGACCAACAUAAAACGGGAGGUUGGAACAGAUGACCUCUGAGACAGCUUCUGGCUCUGACUUUCUCUGAAUCUGUUCUUUAAUUUCUCUUUCAAGUGAUAACCCCACUGGGCAGUCCACAAGCCCUGCCUCCCUCUUAGCAUUGCAGACCAUCUUAAACCUGGGGAAAAGGGAGGAAAGGGACAAAAGAGGGCGGGAGGCAGAUACAUAAUACCAGUAGGUGAGCUCUCCCCUCCAGAUUCCAAUCCCUCUCAGACAACCAGGAGAUCAGAUCUAGGAAGCUGCCUGAGUCAAUCGUCAAUCAACAUUAAUUAUGCGCUUACUGUAUUUCAGGCACUGUGCUUAGCACCAGAGAUACAAAUACAAAAGUGAGACAUUUCUCUCCCUCAAAGAGUUUACACUCUACUGGAGGACAUAAGGAUUAAGUGGCUAAGCUAGGGUCUGUUUUUAAAGAUCUUGAGAACACCCAUUUGGGGGGGGGGGUCUUGCUCUACCAAUGCAGGUUGGGACCCUCUAUGACCCAGUUGGUGAGUCAGGACCUGAACCCAGAUCCCCCUGAUUCCCAGGCCAACUCUCGAUAAAGUGCUUCUCAGCAGGCUAGGAUGAUAACAGCACACCUAAGUACUACGGUCAAAAUUUGGCAAAGCUCUUCUCUCAUGACAACCUUGAUACAGAAAACCAUAUAAUGGAGAGCCCAGCCCUUAGGAGCUCAUAUACGGUUAUCAGCCUGGUAGGAGCUCCCUUAUGAAUUUCAAAGCUUAGGUAUAUGUGACUGUUUCAUGUCCAGUUCUCAGUUGGUGAAAAAAAUAAGCCCCAUCGAUUGGCUGCUGAGACACAAUGACUCCCACUGUGGGGAACCUAAUCUCUUUCCCUGGUUGAGCUCCAGUGAGGAAGCAAUAACCAAUGUAAGCCUCUGAGGGGAGAGAGAGACACACACAGAAAGAAAGAGGGAAAGACAGACAGACAGAGACAGAAAGACAGACACAGAGCUAGAGAGGGCCAGCAGCCUACUUGCCCCACCUAGGUCAACAGGAAGCCAUGACUAAUUUGGAAAUUGUUUUGCUGAAGUAAAAAACAAUUGAUAAAUAUAUUUGGAAUGGUUAAAAAAAAAAAACAUUUGAAGUCAUGAAUGUGUUGCUCUGCUGUGGCUUCUGUCCCUGCCGUAUCGGUUCUAUCUUGCUCUUAGAUAAAGAGAUGUUGACAACAGCUGUGAUUUUGUGAACUUUAAAAAAGUUCCAAGUCCAUGAGAAAGUUUGCCAGCAGCUGAGCCUGAUGAAGGGCCAGCAAUCUGCUUGAUCAAGAGUAAGACACACUGUAAUGUAAAAAAUGAAAUGGUCAGUCACAUGAAAAAAAAUGCUCUAA